GGAGGCGGCGGCGGCGCGGAGGAGGGUUAUCUAUACGUUUAAAAACGAGACGCCUGCGCCGCGCGGGGAAGACCUGGGGAGCGUCCGACAGCACGCGCGAGUCACGAGCGCCCCACGCUCCCCAGUGCGCACUGCCCGCCGCCUCUCGGCCUCCUGCGCCUCGUUGUCUCCGAACCCCAGACGACCUGGCACCACGUACCCUGGGUAGUCGUUUGGCAGCACGGUGCCAGAUCGUCGCUGAGGCUUGACCGUCGUUCCUCCGCCCUCGGUUCCUCGCCCCACACCUUCCUGUGGAGCGCAGGGACUCGGAAGAGGCGCGGGGCGAGUGGAUGCGGGCGCGAUGGACAGCGGCGCGCUGCCCCGGCCCGCGCCCCCUGCGCCUGGUGUCUCGGGCUGCUGCGCCGCUCGGCGGCGACCGGAGUCUCCAGAGCUGCUGCGCUGCAGCCGGCGGCGGCGGCCAGGCGCGGUGGAGACCGGGAGUGGAGCGGCGGCCGUGGCGCGGCGCAACGAGCGGGAGCGCAACCGAGUGAAGCUGGUGAACUUAGGAUUCCAGGCGCUGCGGCAGCACGUGCCUCAGGGCGGCGCCAGCAAGAAGCUGAGCAAGGUGGAGACGCUGCGCUCGGCGGUGGAGUACAUUCGCGCGCUGCAGCGCCUGCUGGCCGAGCACGAUGCCGUGCGCGCCGCGCUAGCCAGGGGGCUGCUGGCGCCAGCCGCGCGCCAUCCACUGCCCCACGGGCCACCCGGGGCCGCCGCCGCCUCGCCCUCCUGCGCCUUGUCGUCCCCGGGCCGCGAGCACAGCUCGGAGCCCGGGUCCCCGCGCUCCGCCUACUCGUCGGACGACAGCACCUGUGAGGGCGCGCUGAGCCCCGCGGAGCGCGAGCUUCUCGAUUUCUCCAGCUGGUUAGGGGGCUACUGAGCUCUCGUCCCAGCAAGGUAAGCGCCGAGAGGCGGGGAAGAGGGAGGAUCAGAGGCAGGGCUGCCGGGCGCGGUGAAGCAAACGGCCUCGCAGCUCGCGCCCCCGAGAGCCCGCGGAGCCCAGCCUCAGGCCCGGGCGAUGGCCUGGAUUUCGCUCACUCUUCAUUUCCCCCAAACUUUUUCAAGCCUGUGCAAGACCAGCGUUUGUUUGUCCGGGAUUGCAAAACUUCCCCUCGCUGCUCCGCCGCCGAAGUGGGAGUGGGGAGACGGAGGGGGGCGGCCCUCGGGCGGGUGAGGCCCCAAGGGCUUGCGGAUCCGGGGCAGAUUCGGGCGCUUGGAGGCGGAGUGACUUUGCAUUGCAAAUUGCGCGCCGGGCCGGGUGGCAGAAAUGAGUCGGCGGGGUGCGGAUCCCUGACUCACUGCGGAUCCGAGCGCUCGCCCCGCCCCGCCCCGCGCCCUGGCUGGGCCGUACUCCGAAACCGAGGCACCCACGGACCCGAGCUCCAAAAUCCACUGAGCAAACGAAACUGCCGGCUCCUCUUGUGGGAGCGGCCGCGAGCGGGCUCACCCCUUGGGAGCCAGCGCGUUGGAAUGGAUCACGUUUCCGUCCCCGCCAUUCCCGCGGGCCAAGCCACCACCGAGCCGGGGAUCCCGCCGACCCUCCCCGGCCGUCCAGCCUGACCAAGGGCUAGUGUGGAAGCGGCCCAGCCUGACAUCAACCGGGCGGCAGCUUCCUCGGACCCCAGCCACCCUCUCCCCGGAGGCCUUCCACUGGAACGGGUCUGCGGCACCAAGACUUGGAGGUUUGAAGGGGAGAGGAUUUUAUGCCGACACAGAUAUCUAUUUUUUACGCAUGAACUUGAACUGCCCAGGGACACUGACAGUAUGAACACUUCUUUUUGUGCAAAGAAUCCUUAGAUUUGGAACCCAAUAAAGAUUGUCUACUCCCGCCCACUCCCUCUUCCUGGAAUUUUUGAACCUGGCCAAGAUCUGAACAUGCUGCAGCCCUUGAGGGGCAGGGUCCCUGGCGGGUGUCCCCUUGCAGCGCUGCCAGUUGGGGAGAGACCUGUGUCAGAAAACCUGUUUUAGGGAGGGUGGAUCUUAUAAAUAAAUCGGUGCUGUGUA